GAUGAAGAACGUAGUGAAAUGCGAUAAGUAGUGUGAAUUGCAGAAUUCAGUGAAUCAUCGAAUCUUUGAACGCACAUUGCGCCCCAUGGUAUUCCGUGGGGCAUGCCUGUUCGAGCGUCAUUUACCCCCUCAAGCUCCGCUUGGUGUUGGGCGUCUGUCCCGCUUCGCGCGCGGACUCGCCCCAAAGGUAUUGGCAGCGGUCGUGCCAGCUUCUCGCGCAGCACAUUGCGCUUCUCGAGGCACCGGUGGGCCCGCGUCCAUCAAGCUCACCCCCCCAGUUUGACCUCGGAUCAGGUAGGGAUACCCGCUGAACUUAAGCAUAUCAAUAAGCGGAGA
rnacentral:misc_RNA from 1 species